AUACAAGAUGUUAUAGAAAAGGCUGUGAUACAAGGUUUAUAGAAGAGAGAGAGGCGCUGUGAUACAAGAUGUUUAUAGAAAGAGGAGAGGCACUGUGAUACAAGAUGUUUAUAGAAAGAGGAGAGGGGCUGUGAUACAAGAUGUUUAUAGAAAGAGGGAGGUGCUGUGGAUACAAGAUGUUUAUAGAAAGAGGAGAGGCCUGUUAUACAAGAUGUUUAUAGAAAGAGGAGAGGCACUGUGAUACAAGAUGUUUAU
rnacentral:lncRNA from 1 species